AAAGUCGUAACAAGGUUUCCGUAGGUGAACCUGCGGAAGGAUCAUUAAAGUAUAUUGAAUUCUAAUUCAUAUCUACCCACCCUGUGUACCUUCUUACUGUUGCUUCCAUGGGACUUGGCUACGCCACGUCGGCCUCUGGGCUGGUGAGCUCCCAUGGGAGGAAAUCAAAACUCCUUUUUGUACAUGACGUCUGUCUGAAGUGUUUGUUAUAAACGUUAAAACUUUCAACAACGGAUCUCUUGGUUCUC
rnacentral:misc_RNA from 1 species